GACGAACGCUGGCGGCGUGCUUAACACAUGCAAGUCGAACGGAAAGGCCCUGCUUUUGUGGGGUGCUCGAGUGGCGAACGGGUGAGUAACACGUGAGUAACCUGCCCUUGACUUUGGGAUAACUUCAGGAAACUGGGGCUAAUACCGGAUAGGAGCUCCUGCUGCAUGGUGGGGGUUGGAAAGUUUCGGCGGUUGGGGAUGGACUCGCGGCUUAUCAGCUUGUUGGUGGGGUAGUGGCUUACCAAGGCUUUGACGGGUAGCCGGCCUGAGAGGGUGACCGGCCACAUUGGGACUGAGAUACGGCCCAGACUCCUACGGGAGGCAGCAGUGGGGAAUAUUGCACAAUGGGCGGAAGCCUGAUGCAGCAACGCCGCGUGCGGGAUGACGGCCUUCGGGUUGUAAACCGCUUUCGCCUGUGACGAAGCGUGAGUGACGGUAAUGGGUAAAGAAGCACCGGCUAACUACGUGCCAGCAGCCGCGGUGAUACGUAGGGUGCGAGCGUUGUCCGGAUUUAUUGGGCGUAAAGGGCUCGUAGGUGGUUGAUCGCGUCGGAAGUGUAAUCUUGGGGCUUAACCCUGAGCGUGCUUUCGAUACGGGUGACUUUGAGGAAGGUAGGGGAGAAUGGAAUUCCUGGUGGAGCGGGUGGAAUGCGCAGAUAUCAGGAGGAACACCAGUGGCGAAGGCGGUUCUCUGGGCCUUUCCUGACGCUGAGGAGCGAAAGCGUGGGGAGCGAACAGGCUUAGAUACCCUGGUAGUCCACGCUGUAAACGGUGGGUACUAGGUGUGGGGUCCAUUCCACGGGUUCCGUGCCGUAGCUAACGCUUUAAGUACCCCGCCUGGGGAGUACGGCCGCAAGGCUAAAACUCAAAGGAAUUGACGGGGCCCCGCACAAGCGGCGGAGCAUGCGGAUUAAUUCGAUGCAACGCGUAGAACCUUACCUGGGUUUGACAUGGAUCGGGAGCGCUCAGAGAUGGGUGUGCCUCUUUUGGGGUCGGUUCACAGGUGGUGCAUGGCUGUCGUCAGCUCGUGUCGUGAGAUGUUGGGUUAAGUCCCGCAACGAGCGCAACCCUUGUUCACUGUUGCCAGCACGUUAUGGUGGGGACUCAGUGGAGACCGCCGGGGUCAACUCGGAGGAAGGUGGGGAUGACGUCAAGUCAUCAUGCCCCUUAUGUCCAGGGCUUCACGCAUGCUACAAUGGCUGGUACAGAGAGUGGCGAGCCUGUGAGGGUGAGCGAAUCUCGGAAAGCCGGUCUCAGUUCGGAUUGGGGUCUGCAACUCGACCUCAUGAAGUCGGAGUCGCUAGUAAUCGCAGAUCAGCAACGCUGCGGUGAAUACGUUCCCGGGGCU
rnacentral:rRNA from 1 species